GCAGGACCUUGUUGCUGAGUGGCAUGGGGUGGGCAUGACUCUUGAUCUUCUGGUUCAAGCUCUUUGAAAAGCUAGCACCCUGGCUCUGUGUGUGGCUCCUUGUGCCCACCUUCCUCUUCUCCGGGUCCUCUUUCCCCCUUUCCAGUUCCCUGCAUGGGCUCCCUGCUGAAGCUGGGACCGUUUGUCCUCUCCUAAACUCAUGUUAAGAUUUCAUCCCCAUUGAGAUAUUAGAGGUGGGACGAGGUGGGACCCUUAACAGGUGAUCAGGGCCCUGCUCUCAGAGUGGGUAAAUCUGUUCCUGGGAUUAAUGGAUUAACGGAUCAGUGGGUUAUCUCCAGAGUGGCUCUGCUAUAAAGGACAUUUGGCUAGUUCUUUUAUCACAUGAUGCCACCUUGGGACUCAGCCAGCAAGAAGCCAUCACCAGCUGCAGCCCUUUGACCUUGAACCAGAACCCAGAGCCAACAUUCGUUUCUUUCCUUCACAGCUCACCCUGUCUGCUUUGUUAGCAGUAGGGGACGAGCUAAGACACCCUCCUCCUACCCUGCCUCCUGGCCCUCAUGGCUGCCCAUCGGCACUUUCUGUGCCUUCCUGGCAUUUUUUUUGGUCUAGUGUGUGAAGUCUGUGUCUCUACCUUCCCUUUUAUUGUAAAUCUGAGUUUCCUGAGACAGGCUCAAGGCCAGAUGUGCCCAGAACAACACUGGCUCCUACUCAGACCCGGCACAGCUGUUGAGCAGAGGAAAGGAGGACGAGAGAAGACUCAGAGUCGGUUCCAGGUGGGCCCUGCCUUCGUUGUGGG
rnacentral:lncRNA from 1 species